rnacentral:rRNA from 1 species
CUGGCUCAGGACGAACGCUGGCGGCGUGCCUAAUACAUGCAAGUCGAGCGGACAGAAGGGAGCUUGCUCCCGGAUGUUAGCGGCGGACGGGUGAGUAACACGUGGGUAACCUGCCUGUAAGACUGGGUAACUCCGGGAAACCGGAGCUAAUACCGGAUAGUUCCUUGAACCGCAUGGUUCAAGGAUGAAAGACGGUUUCGGCUGUCACUUACAGAUGGACCCGCGGCGCAUUAGCUAGUUGGUGGGGUAAUGGCCACCAAGGCGACGAUGCGUAGCCGACCUGAGAGGGUGAUCGGCCACACUGGGACUGAGACACGGCCCAGACUCCUACGGGAGGCAGCAGUAGGGAAUCUUCCGCAAUGGACGAAAGUCUGACGGAGCACGCCGCGUGAGUGAUGAAGGUUUUCGGAUCGUAAAGCUCUGUUGUUAGGGAAGAACAAGUGCGAGAGUAACUGCUCGCACCUUGACGGUACCUAACCAGAAAGCCACGGCUAACUACGUGCCAGCACCGCGGUAAUACGUAGGUGGCAAGCGUUGUCCGGAAUUAUUGGGCGUAAAGGGCUCGCAGGCGGUUUCUUAAGUCUGAUGUGAAAGCCCCCGGCUCAACCGGGGAGGGUCAUUGGAAACUGGGAAACUGAGUGCAGAAGAGGAGAGUGGAAUUCCACGUGUAGCGGUGAAAUGCGUAGAGAUGUGGAGGAACACCAGUGGCGAAGGCGACUCUCUGGUCUGUAACUGACGCUGAGGAGCGAAAGCGUGGGGAGCAACAGGAUUAGAUACCCUGGUAGUCCACGCCGUAAACGAUGAGUGCUAAGUGUUAGGGGGUUCCGCCCCUUAGUGCUGCAGCUAACGCAUAAGCACUCCGCCUGGGGAGUACGGUCGCAAGACUGAACUCAAAGGAAUUGACGGGGGCCCGCACAAGCGGUGGAGCAUGUGGUUUAAUUCGAAGCAACGCGAAGAACCUUACCAGGUCUUGACAUCCUCUGACAACCCUAGAGAUAGGGCUUUCCCUUCGGGGAAGAGUGACAGGUGGUGCAUGGUUGUCGUCAGCUCGUGUCGUGAGAUGUUGGGUUAAGUCCCGCAACGAGCGCAACCCUUGAUCUUAGUUGCCAGCAUUCAGUUGGGCACUCUAAGGUGACUGCCGGUGACAAACCGGAGGAAGGUGGGGAUGACGUCAAAUCAUCAUGCCCCUUAUGACCUGGGCUAC